rnacentral:rRNA from 1 species
GUGGAUUAGAUACCCUAGUAGUCCACGCCGUAAACGAUGUCGAUUUGGAGGUUGUGCCCUUGAGGCGUGGCUUCCGGAGCUAACGCGUUAAAUCGACCGCCUGGGGAGUACGGCCGCAAGGUUAAAACUCAAAUGAAUUGACGGGGGCCCGCACAAGCGGUGGAGCAUGUGGUUUAAUUCGAUGCAACGCGAAGAACCUUACCUGGUCUUGACAUCCACAGAACUUUCCAGAGAUGGAUUGGUGCCUUCGGGAACUGUGAGACAGGUGCUGCACGGUCGUCGACAACU